AACGCACCUUGCGCUCCUUGGUAUUCCGAGGAGCAUGCCUGUUUGAGUGUCAUGGAAUCAUCAACUCUCAUCUGUUAUGGAUGAGGGCUUGGACUUGGGGAUUUUGCUGGUGUCUGCCAGCUCCUCUUGAAUGCAUUAGCUUGAACCUCUACGGAUCGUCUUCGGUGUGAUAAAUGUCUACGCCGUGGUCGUGAAGUAUGAUCGUGUCCGUGCUUCUAACCGUCUCCUUUGCGAGACAAAAACUGUGUUACUUACUAUAAGUAACAUAGGCAUUGACAAUCUGACCUCAAAUCAGGUAGGACUACCCGCUGAACUUAA
rnacentral:rRNA from 1 species